rnacentral:lncRNA from 1 species
UCCCUCACACCAGCAAAAAUACGCUCAUCGUUUCGCCAAGUUUCGAACAAGAAGCAUUCAAAGUUUUCUGUUCACGUGGUUGUGUUCAUUUUUAGAGUCACACUACUGUGAAAGCCUGGCCAGUCUUUCAACUAUGGCCAAGGCAAAAAAUGACAAUAACAAAGACCGUUGUCAUCUCCCCUGCUGCGGCGGUCUUCUUGGAAACUGCUCGGGAGGGCCUGGAAGGGCAGGGCCUCCUGCAUCGAGCGCACACAGCACACUCGUGGGUGGAGUGUUUUUUGCUUUGCAGCAAAUCAGAAAAAACACACAAGGCAAUACCUUGAUGGCAAGUUCAUGCUCUAGAUCUGCAACAUUGCAUCUGCAUUAGAAUUUAAAUUUUGGUCUGCAAAGCUCAAGCUGCAAGACGGUCAGAUAAAAUAUAAAUGAUCAUUAAAAAUGAAUUAUAACAAAAAAGGCUGCAGCCAAGAAAACUAUUUGCAGCUUGGAGCACGCCUCUCACCGGCUCUCUGUGCU